GUAGGGAAUAUUGGGCAAUGGAAGGAAUUCUGACCCAGCCAUGCCGCGUGCAGGAAUACAGUCCUAUGGACUUUAAACUGCUUUUAUUAUAGAGUAACCUGGGGGACGUGUCCCCCACUGCAAGUAUAUAAUGAAUAAGCAUCGGCUAACUCCGUGCCAGCAGCCGCGGUAAUACGGGGGAUGCAAGCGUUAUCCGGAUUUAUUGGGUUUAAAGGGUGCGCAGGCUGAUCGGUAAGUCAUGGGUGAAAAGUCACUGCUUAACAGUGAUCGUGCCUAUGAUACUGCCGGACUAGAGUUUAAGAGGUGUAACUGGAAUGUGAUGUGUAGCGGUGAAAUGCUUAGAUAUGUCACAGAACGCCAAUCGUGAAGACAGGUUACAAACUUAAUACUGACGCUCAUGCACGAAAGCGUGGGGAUCAAACAGGAUUAGAUACCCCAGUAGUCC
rnacentral:rRNA from 1 species